rnacentral:rRNA from 1 species
UUGUGACUGAGCGGCGGACGGGUGAGUAACGCGUGGGCAACCUGCCUUACACAGGGGGAUAACAGUUAGAAAUGACUGCUAAUACCGCAUAAGACCACAGGACCGCAUGGUCCGGUGGUAAAAACUCCGGUGGUGUAAGAUGGGCCCGCGUCUGAUUAGGUAGUUGGCGGGGUAACGGCCCACCGAGGCGACGAUGCGUAGGGGUUCUGAGAGGAAGGUCCCCCACACUGGUACUGAGACACGGACCAGACUCCUACGGGAGGCAGCAG